CCUACGGGCGACAGCACUGGGGGAUAUUGGACAAUGGGGGAAACCCUGAUCCAGCGACGCCGCGUGAGUGAAGAAGUAUUUCGGUAUGUAAAGCUCUGUCAGCAGGGAAGCAAGAAAUGACGGUACCUGACCAAGAAGCCCCGGCUAACUACGUGCCAGCAGCCGCGGUAAUACGUAGGGGGCAAGCGUUAUCCGGAAUUACUGGGUGUAAAGGGAGCGUAGACGGUCAUGCAAGUCUGGAGUGAAAGGCGGGGGCCCAACCCCCGGACUGCUCUGGAAACUGUGUAACGUGAGUGCAGGAGAGGGAAGCGGAAGUCCUAGUGUAGCGGUGAAAUGCGUAGAUAUUAGGAGGAACACCAGUGGCGAAGGCGGCUUACUGGACUGUAACUGACGUUGAGGCUCGAAAGCGUGGGGAGCAAACAGGAUUAGAUACCCCAGUAGUC
rnacentral:rRNA from 1 species